CUGCGUCGAUGUGCGUUUUUUUUUUUUUUUGGAUCGCCGAAAUAAAAUUUACUAAUCGCUGAAGUCUAUGCUAACGUUACGACUUCACAGUUUGACUUGUAUGGCGUCAAAGAAGACUUCGUCUAUCCUACGAGACAUGGCAUGAAAACCGAAAGCUAAUCGAAAAUCAAGGAAGAAAAACUUUCAGAGCAGUGGUGGCCUUAUACUUUUGACCUGUACUGUAUAAUCUUGGACAUUCCAAAAUUGGAAUGGGAUAUUCUGUUCCUGGUUCAAGAUUGGGGGAUAGAAAACAAUCUGUCUGGCUGCACAGUUAAAGUUGUGACAAAGAAGCUGACUGGAGCUUGGAGCACUGACUCAUUUGAAAAAUCCAGGUUCAUAAGGUAAAAGACCUCCCCAGUAUAUUGCUCCAUUCACCUGUAUUUGCUAAUUAGCACAAUUCUUCAGCCAGGAGGUUUAACUACUUGGAAGAAACACAUGGCUGGAUUUUCACUUUCUGACCCCCAGACUUUCCACCUCUGUUCAUCUGGCCCAUUUAUCAGGGGUGGGCUAUACAUGUGCACAAAUACAUGUUCACUUGCCAUGGCCCUUAGUUUGUGAACACCUAAUGCAUGAAGUUUGCCCACCUUAACAAAGCAGUGCUUUCACCUGGUCAGGUUUGACAUUUAUUGUCUUUAGUGACUUCAUCUGUCUAAAGUACAUUUCAGCUGAAACAGAAUAUUUCCCUUUUUUCUGACACAUCUA